rnacentral:sRNA from 1 species
GCUGGGUGCAGUGGCACACACCUGUAAUCCCAGUGGCUCGGGAGGCUGAGGCAGGAGGAUCACAAGUUCAAAGCCAGCCUCAGCAACAGCAAGGCACUAAGCCACUCAGUGAGACCCUGUCUCUA